rnacentral:tRNA from 1 species
GGUUGUAUAGUGUAGUGGUUAUCACUCCAGAUUUUGAUCGCUCCACGAUGAUUUCUGGUAACCCCGGUUCGAACCCGGGUACGACCU